rfam:Myotis brandtii contig183241, whole genome shotgun sequence.
GGUGGUUCUUGGGUGACGGAAUUGGGAUCCCUCCUCUCUGGUUCUGGGUGUGUCACCCGAGAACCGCA